rnacentral:tRNA from 1 species
GCCCCGUGAGUCUCACUCGAAUGGUUGGACGUGGCCCUCUCAAGGCUGAAACAGGGGUUCGAUUCCCCUACGGAGCGCCA